AGUGAACGCUGGCGGCGUGCCUAAUACAUGCAAGUCGAACGAGUGGCGCACGGGUGAGUAAUGCCUAGGAAUCUGCCUGGUAGUGGGGGAUAACGUACGGAAAAGGGCGCUAAUACCGCAUCCUAUCAGCGGAGCCUAGGUCGGAUUAGCUAGUUGGUGGGGUAAAGGCAUACCAAGGCGACGAUCCGUCACUGGUCUGAGAGGAUGAUCAGUCAAACUGGAACUGAGACACGGUCCAGACUCCUACGGGAGGCAGCAGUGGGGAAUAUGUGGCAAUGGGCGAAAGCCUGAGCGAGCCAUGCCGCGUGUGUGAAGAAGGUUUUCGGAUGGUAAAGCUCUUUAAGUUGGGAGGCGUUACCUACAGAAUAAGCACCGGCUAACUUCGUGCCAGCCGCCGCGGUAAUAC
rnacentral:rRNA from 1 species